GAUGAAGAACGUAGUGAAAUGCGAUAAGUAGUGUGAAUUGCAGAAUUCAGUGAAUCAUCGAAUCUUUGAACGCACAUUGCGCCCUUUGGUAUUCCUUAGGGCAUGCCUGUUCGAGCGUCAUUACAACCCUCAAGCUUUGCUUGGUAUUGGACAUUGCCAGUUUCUGGCAGGUCUUAAAAUCAGUGGCGGUGCCAUUUGGCUUCAAGCGUAGUAAUUCUUCUCGCUUUGGAGAUCCAGGUGGUUACUUGCCAAUAACCCCCAAUUUUUUCAGGUUGACCUCGGAUCAGGUAGGGAUACCCGCUGAACUUAAGCAUAUCAAUAAGCGGAGGA
rnacentral:misc_RNA from 1 species